rnacentral:RNase_P_RNA from 1 species
UGGGUUGGUUGGAUGAUCGCGCCAUAUUAUUAUGUCGAGGAAAGUCCGCACUCCAUAGAGCAUGAUGCCGGGUAACACCCGGAGCGGGGAAGCCUGCAAAGGAUAACCUGCUGGAAUGGGCCACAGAAACAGACUGCCAGAAAUGGCGAUGGUGAAAAGGUGGUGUAAGAGACCACCGGCGUUCGCAGUAAUGCGACGGCCAGGCAACCCCCAUCCGGAGCAAGGCCAAGCAGGAACGGCUCUCACUUUGUGAGUAGGAAGCUGCUCGCUUUCACGAAGUUCCGGGUAGGCUGCAAGAGUGAAUUGGCAACAAUCCACCGAGAGAGAUGAUCAUCAUUUUCUCAGUUGUCCUUUUAGGAAACGCUGAAAAAAUACAGAAUGCGGCUUAUAAACCGACCUGGUAU